UUGAUUCAUUUGUAAAUCACUCAGACGUAGAUUCCGCCGGCGGCGAAUGCAGUGUUUGGGUCCCCCGGCGGGCGCCUUGGGUCCGGGCCGCCGCCCCCUGGGGGGUGGGGCGCCGGGGCGCUCCGCCGAAGCAACGUGCGGUAUGUUCACAGGGGUUUGGGAGUCGGAUGAACUCGGUAAUGAUCCCUCCGCUGGUUCACCAACGGAGA
rnacentral:misc_RNA from 1 species